GAGAUGAGGCCUCGCUAUGUUGCCCAGGCUGGUCAAUCUCCUUAUCAAAAGGUCGCUUGAUCAUGCUUGUGGUACUCUCUUCCAAUACCACACCCCCGUUUUUUAUUUUGAGACAGAGUCUCUGUUGCCCAGGCUAGAGUGCAGUGGCACAAUCUCAGCUAGCUGCAACCUCCACCUCCUGGGUUCAAGUGAUUCUCCUGCCUCAGCCUCUGCCUGGCUGAUGUUUGUAUUUUUAGUAGAGAUGGGGUUUCAACCAUGUUGGCCGGGUUGGUCUCAAACUCCUGACCUCAGGUGAUCUGCCCACGUCGGCCUCCUAAAGUGUUGGGAUUAUAGGUGUGAGCCAUUGCGCCCGGCCCAAUACCCAUUUUUAAUCUUUACAACCUAGCCAGGCUGAGAAUUUCCCAAAUUUUUAAGUCCUGCUUCCCUUUUGAUUGUAAAUUUGAUCUUUAGGCCAGGUGAGGUGGCUCAUGCCUGUAAUCCUAGCACUUUGGGAGGCUGAAGCAGGUGGAUCACUCGGGCUCCAGAGUUCAAGACCAGGCUGGGCAAUAUGGUGAAACCCUGUCUCUACAAAAAAAAAAAAAAAAAAAAAUUAGCUGGGUGUGGUGGCUCAUUCCUGUAGUCCCACCUAUUUGGGGGCCUGAGGUGAGAGGAUUCCUUGAACCCGGGAGUCCGAGGUUGCAGUGAGCUUAGAUUGCGCCACCGCACUCCAGCCUGGGUGACUGAGACCCUGCUUCAAAAAACAAAACAAACAAACAAAUCUUUAAUUCAUUUCUCACAUAUUACUAUAAGCAAUUAAGAGAAGCAAUAUAGCAUCCUCAACACUUUGCUUAGUGAUUUAUCCUGUCAAAUAUCCUAGUUUAUCCCUUGAAAGUUUGCCUCACCUUACACCUCUUUUCUACAUACAGGCACUAAUGCCAUUCAUGAGGACUCUGUCCUUGUGACUUAAUCACCUUCUAAAGGUCCCACUUCAGUAAUAUCACAUUGUGGAUUAAGUUUCAAUAUAUCAAUUUUGGGAGACACAUUGAGACCAUAGCACACAGAGAUGUAAUAGUUCUACAGGUUGAGUAUACCUUAUUUGAAAUACCUGGGGCAAGAAGUGUUUUGGAUUUCAAAUAUUUUUGGAUUUGGGAAUUAUUUGCAUUAUACCUACUCGCUGAGCAUCCCUAACCUGAAAAUCAAAAAUUGAAAAUCUUCCAGUGAGCAUUUCCUUUGAGCAUCAUUGGCACUCAAAAAGUUUCAGAUUCUGGAGCGUUUUUGGUUCCAGAUUAGGGAAGUAAUAAUAAACCUUUAAUACAGAUGGCAAUAGAGCUUUUAUGGAAAAGGGAAUUGCAGCCUGGGCACAGUGGCUCAUGCCUAUAAUCCCAGCAGUUUGGAAGGCUGAGGCGAGUGGAUCACUUGAGGCCAGGAGUUUGAGACCAGCCUGGCCAACAUGGUGAAACUUUGUCUAUACUAAAAAUACAAAAAUUAGCCAGGCAUGGUGGCACAUGCCUGUAAUCCCAGUUACUUGGGAGGCUGAGGCAGGAGAAUUGCUUGAACCCGGGAGGCGGAGGUUGCAGUGAGCUGAGAUCGUGCCACUGCAUUCCAGCCUGGGCAACAGAGCGAGACUCUCUUAAAAAAAAGAAGUGUAUUGUGGCUGGAUCCACCGCGCCCGGCUGUAUUUUUCUCUUUGAACACCUGGUGAAGUAGGUUGGAUAUGUGCCUGUUCUUGGUAAUUAAAAAAAAUUAAUAUAUUUAUGAUCUGUAUAGGAUGGAAUAACGUAUCAUUGGUUAGUGAUUUUUUCC
rnacentral:lncRNA from 1 species